UUUCCUUGCAAUCUAAAAAGACUCUAAUGCCAGAAAGAGAAAACUAAUGCCAGAAAGCAUUUACUCUUCAGAAUCUCUACCACACUAUUUAUUUUCUUCUCUUAAAUGACACCAUAGACUGAAUUGCAAGGCUUGUUUCAAUCUGAGACCCUCCUGAUGUUCUGUAAAAAAUAAUAAACUCUUCCCUUUAAAAGCGAAAUGCAGAAUUCAAGUAAAAAUGAUGUGAGUAUUAAGGAGAACAGGGGAACUUCAUUAUUCAUGGUGGAUGUAGUGAAUGGCAAAGAUAAUUUCAAAAAGUAGACAUGGGAAAAAAAGAUUUAAAAAAAGACAGAGGUAUGCUCAUACCCACGGGCAAUGUGUAGCCUUCAGCGCCGGCUUUCUGCCUUUUCUGCCAGCUCUGCCCCAGGCUCUGCAUCUCCCCACAUUACAUUGCUGGAGCGCAUCCAGAGGGAAGACAGGGAUGUAGCUGCUCCACAGAGCAGAUGAAGUGUGGCCUGAACCUGUUCAACAGCCUGGCCUGUCCUUUCUGGAGGCAGUGUUCAGGCUGACUCCACAACGCGAGCAUCCUGUUACGCCUUUGUCCAUCGGCAGCUUUUAGUCUGGCUUAUUGUGUGGCCCUCCAGCAAUCUGAGUGGACACAGUGGAAGACGGGAGUGAAGGGUUGAGGGGAGAAGGAAAGGCUGAAAGGUGUGUGGAGAUUUCAGAUUGCCUCUUCUCUCUUAUCACAUGUUGAAGACACUGGCAGGAAUUGACUUCAUGGCUCUGAGGACCAGAGAAAUGUGGGGAGGAAACAGAAGCAGAGAAGAGAGCAAGUGCGUUCACUUGGACUACAGGCAAAUUUACCUUCUCAGUUCUUCUUCAGAUGGAUUCUGCUCUCCACCACAAGGCUCCAUCCUGAAGGCAAAGUAUUUCCUUUCACCUCUCUGUUGCUUGAUCUGUGGUAAAUAUGAGAGCUCUUGUCAGUUGCUGGGCUCCUCAAAUGAGUGGCGUCUGAGUGCUCUGCAACAUGGUCGAGCCUCUGUCAGGCAGCAGCAUGGCCAACCUAGUGUUUUCAUGGAGGAAAAUAAAGGAACCAGUUCUCUAAGCCAUGACAGCAGCAUGCUUCUGGCAUUGGAAUAG
rnacentral:lncRNA from 1 species